AGGUCUCUGACUUAAACACAGUAGUGCAGCAAGGCAAUGGCUACUUCACAGACCCCAGCAGACCACAGUUCUAGGAGGCUGCAUAGUUUGCUUAUAUAUUUCACAGAUAUAAGCCUGAUCUGAAAUCAGAAGACAGUUUCUCCAGUAUUAGCUGAAAUUUAGCCUGACUAGUUUUGCACAGAUGAUGUCUGUAGAUGUGCAACUGACUGGUGGCCCUGGACUACAUUCUAUAAAGGUCUGGACUGUCUAGAAUGAGCUGUGAGGUUUGAUCAAAAUAACAAUGAACACCUGGAUGCUCCUGUGAAGGAAUUUGUCUGAACAUCUCUCCUGCAUUGCCCUAAAUAACAUUAGUUUUGUGAAGAGCCUUCAACCAAUGUAAUAGUAACUGGUGAAAUGGAAUUUCUCAGUGGAGAUGGCAGCCUCACUAAAGCAAGGAAACAUGAUAGUAGCCAUAAAACAAAUGUUAAAGUUAAUUUACAAAUUAUAUAAACAAAAAAAGAUGGAUCAUCAGCAUGAGCAUUUUUUGCAGAUAUUUAUCUAACUUGUUCUUAAAGAUCUGCCAUGAUGAAGACUCUACAUCUCACCUGAGAAGUCUAUCCGAGUUCUUUAAUAUCCUGAGGGUACGAAAAUUUUCCUGAAAAUUUUCCCUGAAAUUUGCUUGCUGCAAGAACCCUUCAGUCUUAAUUGAUAUUCUUCUCAACUGAUAAUGGCUCAAACACAAAAGCAUAGGGAUUGAUGUGUGAGAUCUAAUCAUUCAUCUCAGCCAGCACUUAGUCUCCAGAAGAGCCAGCUGCCUCAGAAGAUGGUUCCUGCUGUGGGCAACCACUAAGUAACCUACACAAGAUGGGCAGCCUGGUUCAUGAAUGUUCCUGGCUACAAAUUCAGCAAGUCUUUGCUGCAGGUACUCUCAAUAUUGAUUUGAAAGUCACUCUUUCCAGAAAGCCUCAGAACAGAAACAACCUGAAAAUGGACAGACUCAAGAGCUCUCAAGAGGAAAUGUUCACUGAAUUCUGAAUGUGGACAACCAGCAUGUGUUCAAAUACAGGAAACCACAUUUUACUUCAGGCUCUCCAUUCCUCUGUGCGAACAGCCUUCAUGGCUGACACACUGGUAUUGAGGAAACACAGCACAGAAUCAGAGAUUCAUUAAGUCUUCACUACAUGGCAACCCACAUGCUUGGAAGAAGACUUAAAAUAAAUGCAUUUUUCACUUAGUAACUAAGGGGGGUGGCCAUAAAGGCAAACCUACUCAUGUAGUGGAAAUAAGGGCACAAUGAGUGACUCAGGAGAGGAGUUCCCUAUGUGUGCUCUGACCACACUGGGGAAGGCACCUCUCUUGUUCUCUCCACUUCAUCUACUGAGAUGCUCAUGGUGGAAAACCUCAAUUAAUUUAUGUGUGUAUAUGCUCUCUCCCUUUGUUCUUGGCUACUUAAAUCAUCAGAAUCAUUUGAACUACUAUCAUUGGUCCUCAUUUGUACCUCUCCUAUAAGCUGUUAAAGUCAGGGGUGGAAUAAAAUAUUUGGCCCUCAGGAGAAAGUAAAGAUAUGCUGUUCAUUAAACAUGGGAGACAUAUCUUCUGUAUUCUCCUCAUCAAGAUUGUUUUUGGAAGAACCCCUUUGGCUCAAGCCAAAAAAAA